GCGGACGUAGUUCAUCGGUAGAAUGAAAGCUUCCCAAGCUUUAGAGGCGGGUUCGACUCCCGUCGUCCGCUCCG
rnacentral:tRNA from 1 species